rnacentral:rRNA from 1 species
GCGAGCGAAAAGAAAAUAGUUCAGCACUAAGUCACUUUGCCAUAAUGGUAAAUGUGAGAUGCAGUGUAUGGAACAUCUAUAAUCUAGUAUGAUAUAUUGAUGAUUUAAGUCCUUCUUAAAUGAGGCCAUUUACCCAAAGAGGGUGCCAGGCCCGUAUAACGUUAAUGAUUACUAGAAGAUGCUUCCAAAGAGUCGUGUUGCUUGAUAGUGCAGCACUAAGUGGGUGGUAAACUCCAUCUAAAACUAAAUAUUACCAUGAGACCGAUAGUAAACAAGUACCGUGAGGGAAAGUUGAAAAGAACUCUGAAUAGAGAGUUAAAUAGUACGUGAAACUGCUUAGAGGUUAAGCCCGAUGAACCUGAAUAUCCAUUAUAGAAAAUACAGCAUUAUAAUAUUAAUAUUAAUAAUAUUAUUUAUAUAAUGUGCAUUUUUUCUAUAUAAGGACAUUGUAAUCUAUUAAUAUAUAUAUAUAUUUAUCAGAAGAUCAUUAGAUUAAAGUUUAUUCUAAUUAAUUUACUUCGGUAAAUUAACAUAAAAUAAGUACUUUUGAUUUGAUAAAGUGUUAAUAGAUUUAUUAUAUAUGGUGCUUAAAUUCAUAUUAAUAAAUUUUGUAAUGGCAUAAAUUUCUAUUUGAUUCUUAUGCUAAAUUACAUGCACCAAUAUGAUUAACAAUGCGAUAGAUUCAGGAUACCUUCGGGACCCGUCUUGAAACACGGACCAAGGAGUCUAACAUAUGUGCAAGUCAUUGGGAUUAAUAUAAUUAAACCUAAAGGCAUAAUUAACUUAAAUGUAAUUAAUGGGAUUAGUUUUUAAUCUAAUUUUUAAUUAGUUUAUUAAUUCAAUCCCGGGGCGUUCUAUAUAGUUAUGUAUAAUAAUAUUUUAUAUUAUUUAUACCUCUAACUGGAGCGUACCUUCAGCAUAUAUGCUGUGACCCGAAAGAUGGUGAACUAUACUUGAUCAGGUUGAAGUCAGGGGAAACCCUGAUGGAAGACCGAAACAGUUCUGACGUGCAAAUCGAUUGUCAGAAUUGAGUAUAGGGGCGAAAGACUAAUCGAACCAUCUAGUAGCUGGUUCCCUCCGAAGUUUCCCUCAGGAUAGCUGGUGCAUUAAAUUAUUAUAUAAAAUAAUCCUAUCUGGUAAAGCGAAUGAUUAGAGGCCUUAGGGUCGAAACGACCUUAACCUAUUCUCAAACUUUAAAUGGGUAAGAACCUCACCUUUCUUGAUAUGAAGGUUGAGGUUAUGAUAUAAUGUGCCCAGUGGGCCACUUUUGGUAAGCAGAACUGGCGCUGUGGGAUGAACCAAACAUAAUGUUACGGUGCCCAAAUUAACAACUCAUGCAGAUACCAUGAAAGGCGUUGGUUGCUUAAAAUAGCAGGACGGUUGACAUGGAAGUCGUAAUCCGCUAAGGAGUGUGUAACAACUCACCUGCCGAAGCAACUAGCCCUUAAAAUGGAUGGCGCUUAAGUUGUAUACCUAUACAUUAUCGCUAAAGUAAAUGAUUUAUAUUCAAUUUCGAUUGAAUUUUAAAUUUUGAAACUUUAGUGAGUAGGAGGGUACAAUGGUGUGCUUAGAAGUGUUUGGCGUAAGCCUGCAUGGAGCCGCCAUUGGUACAGAUCUUGGUGGUAGUAGCAAAUAAUCGAAUGAGACCUUGGAGGACUGAAGUGGAGAAGGGUUUCGUGUGAACAGUGGUUGAUCACGAGUUAGUCGGUCCUAAGUUCAAGGCGAAAGCUGAAAAUUUUCAAGUUAUAAUAUAUAUAUAUAUAUAUAAUUUAUUUAUAAGUAAUUAAACACUUGAUUAUUUUUGAACGAAAGGGAAUACGGUUCCAAUUCCGUAACCUGUUGAGUAUCCGUUUGUUAUUAAAAAUGGGCCUUGUGCUCAUCCUGGCAACAGGAACGACCAUAAAGAAGCCGUCGAGAGGUAUCGGAAGAGUUUUCUUUUCUGUUUUAUAGUCGUACUACCAUGGAAGUCUUUCGAAGAGAGAUAUGGUAGAUGGACUAGAAGAGCAUGACAUUUACUGUUGUGUCGAUAUUUUCUCCUCGGACCUUGAAAAUUUAUGGUGGGGUCACGCAAACUUCUCAACAGGCGGUACCGAUAUCCGCAGCUGGUCUCCAAGGUGAAGAGUCUCUAGUCGAUAGAAUAAUGUA